AACGAACGCUGGCGGCAUGCCUAACACAUGCAAGUCGAACGAGACCUUCGGGUCUAGUGGCGCACGGGUGCGUAACGCGUGGGAACCUGCCCUUAGGUUCGGAAUAACUCCCCGAAAGGGGUGCUAAUACCGGAUAAUGUCUUCGGACCAAAGAUUUAUCGCCUUUGGAUGGGCCCGCGUUGGAUUAGCUAGUUGGUAGGGUAAAAGCCUACCAAGGCGACGAUCCAUAGCUGGUCUGAGAGGAUGAUCAGCCACACUGGGACUGAGACACGGCCCAGACUCCUACGGGAGGCAGCAGUGGGGAAUAUUGGACAAUGGGCGAAAGCCUGAGCCAGCAAUGCCGCGUGAGUGAUGAAGGCCUUAGGGUUGUAAAGCGCUUUUACACGGGAUGAUAAUGACAGCACCGGGAGAAUAAGCUCCGGCUAACUCCGUG
rnacentral:rRNA from 1 species